rnacentral:rRNA from 1 species
GGACUACUCGGGUAUCUAAUCCCGUUUGCUCCCCUAGCUUUCGCGCCUCAGCGUCAGUAUUGGGCCAGACAAGCGCUUUCGCCACCGGUGUUCCUCCUGAUAUCUACGCAUUUCACCGCUACACCAGGAAUUCCCUUGUCCUCUCCCAUACUCUAGUCCGGCAGUUUGAGAUGCAGGUCUCCGGGUGAGCCGGAGGAUUUCACAUCCCACUUACCGAACCGCCUACACGCCCUUUACGCCCAGUGAUUCCGAACAACGCUUGCUCCCCCCGUGUUACCGCGGCGGCUGGCAC